AAGGAGCCCGAUCCCAUUGAACUGUCUUCGGAGACUUUCUGCUGAGUUCAACGGGCUCAAGAGAAGGAGGUAGAAGUAGGAGCGACACUUUGGCCUGUGCCUGGAGAGAACAUUCCUGGUGGAGAUUUUUGGAGCUGAACAACAGAGGAUAAACCAGACAGCAUGGGAUCUACAGCAUUGUAAGAGCAACAUGAGAAGAUCUGUGCAGCAGAUCAAAGGGACUUGGAGCACAAAAGAGGUCACAAUGCAAUGGUGUUGGGAGAAUAAAUCUGGUGCUGGAUGUGAGGUGCUUACAGACAACGGUGAUGAGAAUCUUACGAAUAGCCAAUACAUAAAGAAAAGAAAGGAUUCCAGUACCCUGCCCCCUGCUCCAACAGCGCUUCCUCCCACUGAAAUGAACCAAGGAGUGGAAUUUACUCUCCAGCCCAAAUUCCAGCUCAUUUUGUCACCCAAACUCUCCCUACAGCUUCAACUACAUUUAAUAUUUUCCUUCAUGUUUUGUGGUGAACUGUUGCUGUGUGCUGUUAAACAGCUGCAGCAAGCCACCCCAGAGGUGGCUGCAUUUCCACAGAGGUGAAGUGAUCCUGAUGUAUUGUUUGGGUCUCCUUUUCAAUAAA